rnacentral:rRNA from 1 species
ACGGAGUUAGUGGCGGACGGGUGAGUAACACGUGGGAACGUGCCUUUAGGUUCGGAAUAACUCAGGGAAACUUGUGCUAAUACCGAAUGUGCCCUUCGGGGGAAAGAUUUAUCGCCUUUAGAGCGGCCCGCGUCUGAUUAGCUAGUUGGUGAGGUAAAGGCUCACCAAGGCGACGAUCAGUAGCUGGUCUGAGAGGAUGAUCAGCCACAUUGGGACUGAGACACGGCCCAAACUCCUACGGGAGGCAGCAGUGGGGAAUCUUGCGCAAUGGGCGAAAGCCUGACGCAGCCAUGCCGCGUGAAUGAUGAAGGUCUUAGGAUUGUAAAAUUCUUUCACCGGGGACGAUAAUGACGGUACCCGGAGAAGAAGCCCCGGCUAACUUCGUGCCAGCAGCCGCGGUAAUACGAAGGGGGCUAGCGUUGCUCGGAAUUACUGGGCGUAAAGGGAGCGUAGGCGGACAUUUAAGUCAGGGGUGAAAUCCCGGGGCUCAACCUCGGAAUUGCCUUUGAUACUGGGUGUCUUGAGUAUGAGAGAGGUGUGUGGAACUCCGAGUGUAGAGGUGAAAUUCGUAGAUAUUCGGAAGAACACCAGUGGCGAAGCGACACACUGGCUCAUUACUGACGCUGAGGCUCGAAAGCGUGGGGAGCAAACAGGAUUAGAUACCCUGGUAGUCCACGCCGUAAACGAUGAUUGCUAGUUUGUCGGGAUGCAUGCAUUUC